rnacentral:rRNA from 1 species
UUCCGGUUGAUCCUGCCGGACCCUACUGCUAUCGGGAUGAGACUAAGCCAUGCGAGUCAUGCGCUCUCCAGCCAUGUUGAGAGUGCGGCAUACGGCUCAGUAACACGUAGCUAACCUAACCUUAGGAUGAGAAUAACCCCGGGAAACUGGGCCUAAUUCUCAAUAGGCGGAAAUGCCUGGAAUGGCUUUCCACCCAAAGACGUUGGAAACAUGCUUCUGACUUUGCCUAAGGAUGGGGCUGCGGCCGAUCAGGUUGUUGGUGGGGUAACGGCCUACCAAGCCUAUUACCGGUACGGGCCCUGAGAGGGGGAGCCCGGAGAUGGGAACUGAGACAAGGUCCCAGGUCCUACGGGGCGCAGCAGGCGCGAAAACUCCACAAUGCACAAAAGUGCGAUGGGGUCAUCCCGAGUGCCGUCCGUUGAGGAUGGCUUUUGCCCAGUGUAAGGAACUAGGAGAAUAAAGGGGGGGCAAGUCUGGUGUCAGCCGCCGCGGUAAUACCAGCCCCCUGAGUGGUAGGGACGAUUAUUUGGCCUAAAGCGUCCGUAGCCCGCUCAGCAAGUCUUUCGUUAAAUCUGACGAUUCAAUCGUUAGACCGCGGAGGAUACUGCUGGGCUAGAGGAUGGGAGAGGUCGACGGUAGUCCUGGGGUAGGGGUGAAAUCCUAUAAUCCCAGGAGGA